AUGUGGCUGCUGAGUGCUUUCAUUCUGACAGCUAUUUUUUCUGGUGGUUCUGCACUAGUAUUGCAGCAAACACCCAUAUCUAUCACCAAGCCAGAUGGCAAGACGGUGCUAAUCAAUUGCCACGUCUCCCAUCCCGAUUUCAUCAAUGUUUUCAUUCACUGGUACCGAAGGAGGCCCAAUGCAGCUCCCAAGCGCAUUGCUUACAUGUCCUCCAGGCUUUUUGUUGAAAACAAGGCCGAUGAGGGGAAAAUUAGUAUUGAGAAGGAUCCCACCAAAUCCAUCUGCACUCUGACAGUGAGCAAAGUAACUCUGCAAGACUCUGCCACCUACUACUGUGCUAGGUGGGACGCACAGCAGUAG